rnacentral:misc_RNA from 1 species
AUAAUUGUCUUGAGAGCUUCUGGUGGAAUGACUUGGCAGUUGUAAUUGUAGGACAAUCCAUCAGUCAUGUGGAGCUCAUCAUGCCUCGACGUCGGUGAAACAGGACACGAGAAUAUGUCCAGCGGCACAGGUGGUUUAUAGGUUGCGAAGAAAGCAAUGCUACCUUUCUUCUGACCUGCCAUACUGCCUGUCUUCUCUUCCGCAACCCAUAAUUCAUUAGAAGGCAUUUUUCCUUCAAGAGCUUCAACUAUCUGUUUCAUUCUUGGUCGAAGUUUAGAAGGUCUAUAUACGCUAAUAGCAGCACAAUAAAUCAUUCGCUCCAUUUCACUUUUUAUAUAAUCUCCCUUCAAUGCGGAAUCAACAAGACAACUGUAAUUGAUUUCAACUAAAUCUCCUUUGAACAUAAAAGGCUUUGCCUGAAUGAUACAAGUAUUAUACAAGUUUCAUAUUCUUAAAAAGUCAAUACUAAGAUAGAUUUGUCCAAGUAAAAUAAUUUACACCAUUAUAGAGAAAGAAUUUUUCAUACCUAGACCUGAUUCAUCAUACAACUAAGACAGAAAUAUGUGGAAUCCAUGUAUUUAAUAGGUGAAUUCCAAUAUACAUUUUGUGUUUUCGAUCCAUAGUGAACCGGGUCUAGGCAAUAAUUUUCAUAUAGAGAAGUAUCUUACCCAAUUGACAAUAUCAACUCGAUGUUCAUCGAAAAUUGUUCUUCCAGUAAUAAGUUCUAGAAGCACAACACCGAAAGAAUAAACAUCUGACUUUUCAGAAAUUUUUUGAAGAAUAUUUUCACCCUCUUGAGAAUAAUAAUUCUCUGGAUCUGCAUAAACAUUGGUUCCCUUCCAACGAGAGCUGAUGUGGGUGACACUAUUAGUUUCUGGAAAAAACUUGGCAAGUCCAAAAUCCGCAAUCUUUGGUUUAUAAUUAUUAUCAAGAAGUAUAUUUUCUGCCUUGAUAUCUCCGUGGAUGAUUUUAGGAUUACAUUCUUCAUGUAGAUAAGCCAAACCUUUUGCAGAACCUAUAGCAAUUUUCAUUCUUUCUGACCACUUCAAAUUUGAUCUUCGCUCUUCAUAAUUUAGAUGAAAUCUCAAGGAUUCGUUGAGAACAAACUCUGAAACAAGCAAUGUACCAUAUCCUGAAUGGCAGUAGCCGAUCAGCUUAACAAGAUUUUCGUGACGGACAUUGCCAACGGCAUUAAUCUCCUUCUCAAAUUCUUCUUGCUGCUGUCGAUCAAGGUAACAAAAGAGUCUCUUAAUGGCUACCGUUAUACCUUGCGGAAGGGUUCCCCAAUACACAGUACCAAAACCACCUUGGCCAAGUACACUGAAGUUGCUUAAAUGACCAGUUGCAAUUGCUAGUUCUGGAAAUGUAAAUUUCCUCAGUUCAUAUGCUUCGUAAUCCUUAGGUAAUGAUCGCAUUUCUCUAAACUGAGCAGGGAUCAUUGUUUCUAACGGAUCUCCCCCUAUUAAUGACUUGGAUUCCGAGGUUUCUGCAUUAACUUCAAAGAGAGAUGAGGCUGUUGCUUCUUGUGCAUCUAAUUCUAUUAAUGGUGGGCUAAAUUCUGCACUCUUCCCUGUGUGAAUCACACUGCUUAAGAUCUCGUUUUUAACAAAAUCAACAAUUAAACACGUUAUUCAAUAUUAACAGUGCAAUAUUACUACACCCUACUAGAAAUGCCUUUCACUCUCAUUUUACAUUUACAUAAUUAACGUGCAUUUAAAGAAUCAGAAAAAUUUACAAAUGACCAAAGAAAUAAAAAGAUAAAAGAAGAAAAAUGAAAUAAGUUGAAGAUACGAAUAGAUACAUCUCAUUUUCUGUGAAAAUUGCCUCUAUCAAUGAAAGAUGAAUUUAGUAUGAACUCAAUUUCAUAUAAUGAAGAAUUUAAGUAUUAUUAAAUUAAAUCUUUUUAUU